rnacentral:snRNA from 1 species
GUACUCUCUUUGGUAGCACAUAUACUAAUUUUGGAACCAUACAGAGAUGAUUAGCAUGGCCCCUGAGCAAGGAUGACACACAACUUUGUGAAGCAUUCCAUAUUUAA